rnacentral:rRNA from 1 species
UACGUAGGGCGCAAGCGUUAUCCGGAAUUAUUGGGCGUAAAGAGCUCGUAGGCGGUUUGUCGCGUCUGCCGUGAAAGUCCGGGGCUCAACUCCGGAUCUGCGGUGGGUACGGGCAGACUAGAGUGAUGUAGGGGAGACUGGAAUUCCUGGUGUAGCGGUGAAAUGCGCAGAUAUCAGGAGGAACACCGAUGGCGAAGGCAGGUCUCUGGGCAUUAACUGACGCUGAGGAGCGAAAGCUAGGGGAGCGAACGGG